rnacentral:rRNA from 1 species
AACGAACGCUGGCGGCAGGCUUAACACAUGCAAGUUGAGCGCCCCGCAAGGGGAGCGGCAGACGGGUGAGUAACGCGUGGGAAUCUACCCAUCUCUACGGAAUAACGCAUGGAAACGUGUGCUAAUACCGUAUACGUCCUUCGGGAGAAAGAUUUAUCGGAGAUGGAUGAGCCCGCGUUGGAUUAGCUAGUUGGUGGGGUAAAGGCCUACCAAGGCGACGAUCCAUAGCUGGUCUGAGAGGAUGAUCAGCCACACUGGGACUGAGACACGGCCCAGACUCCUACGGGAGGCAGCAGUGGGGAAUAUUGGACAGUGGGCGCAAGCCUGAUCCAGCCAUGCCGCGUGAGUGAUGAAGGCCCUAGGGUUGUAAAGCUCUUUCACCGGUGAAGAUAAUGACGGUAACCGGAGAAGAAGCCCCGGCUAACUUCAUGCCAGCCGCCGCCGUAAUAC